UUCCCGGCCGGACCUGGCGCCCCGCGGCGGCCCCACCUGCCCGGCCACUGAGCAUGCCCAGAGCAGCUCCGCCCCGCGUGAUCCGGCUCGGGCUUGGCAGCGGCCCGGAGGCGCGGAGGGGCGGGACCGGGCUGCCGGGCGCCGCCGCCGGAGGUCGGGAAAUCGGGAAGAUCCCGCGGAGGGCAGGGGCCGGGAGUCCCCGAGGGCGGCCCGGGCUGAGUGAUUUCAGGAAAACUGGAACCCCAACCUUAUCCCAUGGAAAACUGGAGAGAAGGAGGUGGUCGCAGUCAUUUAUAGCCAGAGCAAGGACCACAAUCCUGGAGCACAGAUGACUAGAAACAGUAUUUCAGCCUUAGACAGGGACCUGGCUCAUCCAAUUUGGAGAGCGAGAAACUUAGGCGCAGCGACGAUCGCAGCUUGCUAGUGGGGAACUCCUCUAGGGCCUUCUCUGCUGCUGUGUGUGUCUCGGACGCCGCCAUUCAGCGAUACAGGGAAAUUGAAAGUUAAAAAGAAAGCACAUUCUAACCUGGCUGGAAGUUGUAUGCAUAGACCUGGGAGCUAACCUGGAAAUGCAGCCCAUCUUCCUCAUCCCAGAGCUGCCUAUUAUCAUGGAAAGAUUAACAACCUUGUUGCAGAAACUAGAGGCACCAGCCCUUUGCAAAUCCCCAGCUGGCAUUGUCUGUCAUCUGUAACCAUUAUACCCAUUUUUAUUCCUUUUUGCCCACUUCCCCAUGUAAUCUUUGUCCUUGCACCCAUAUAAGCAGCUGGCUUAUAGGGGGGUGGGCAGAGUAGAUUUUCAAGGAUGACCUGCUGCUCUCCCAUACUGCCUGUAUUAUUGGAAUAAACACUCAUACAUGAUUCAA